rnacentral:rRNA from 1 species
UACGUAGGGUGCAAGCGUUGUCCGGAAUUAUUGGGCGUAAAGAGCUCGUAGGUGGCCUGUCGCGUCGGCUGUGAAAACUCGGGGCUCAACUUCGAGCUGUCGGUGGAAACUAUCUGGCUAGAGUCCGGAAGAGGAGAAUGGAAUUCCUGGUGUAGCGGUGAAAUGCGCAGAUAUCAGGAGGAACACCGGUGGCGAAGGCGGGUCUCUGGGCCGAUAUUGACGCUGAGGAGCGAAAGCGUGGGGAGCGAACAGG